ACGAACGCUGGCGGCAUGCCUAAUACAUGCAAGUCGAGCGAAUGAUGAAGAAGCUUGCUUCUCUGAUUAGCGGCGGACGGGUGAGUAACACGUGGGCAACCUACCCUAUAGAUUGGGAUAACACAGGGAAACCUGUGCUAAUACCGAAUAAUACAUUUUCUUUCAUGAGGAGAUGUUGAAAGAUGGUUUCGGCUAUCACUAUAGGAUGGGCCCGCGGCGCAUUAGCUAGUUGGUGAGGUAAUGGCUCACCAAGGCAACGAUGCGUAGCCGACCUGAGAGGGUGAUCGGCCACACUGGGACUGAGACACGGCCCAGACUCCUACGGGAGGCAGCAGUAGGGAAUCUUCCACAAUGGGCGAAAGCCUGAUGGAGCAAUGCCCGCGUGAGUGAUGAAGGAUUUCGGUUCGUAAAACUCUGUUGUAAGGGAAGAACAAGUAGCGUAGUAACUGGCGUUACCUUGACGGUACCUUAUUAGAAAGCCACGGCUAACUACGUGCCAGCCGCCGC
rnacentral:rRNA from 1 species